rnacentral:rRNA from 1 species
GUCGAGCUUGCUCACAGGCACAUCAUAUCCAUAACACCUGUGCACUUGUCGGAUGGCUUAGUGAAGACCGCAAGGUUGAAUCUAUCCAUCUACUUUACAUAACAAUUCUGUAACAAAUGUAGUCUUAUUAUAACAUAAUAAAACUUUCAACAACGGAUCUCUUGGCUCUCGCAUCGAUGAAGAACGCAGCGAAAUGCGAUAAGUAAUGUGAAUUGCAGAAUUCAGUGAAUCAUCGAAUCUUUGAACGCACCUUGCGCUCCUUGGUAUUCCGAGGAGCAUGCCUGUUUGAGUGUCAUGAAAACCCUCAACCCUAGAUUGGUUAAAACCUUUCUUUGGUUUGGAUUUGGACGUUUGCCGAUGAUAAGUCGGCUCGUCUUAAAAGUAAUAGCUGGAUCUGUCUCGCGACAUGGUUUGACUUGGCGUAAUAAGUAUUUCGCUAAGGACAUCUUCGGAUGGCCGCGUUGCAGGACUAAAGACCGCUUUCUAAUCCAUUGAUCUUCGGAUUAAUACUCUUGACAUCUGGCCUCAAAUCAGGUAGGACUACCCGCUGAACUUAAGCAUAUCAUA